rnacentral:rRNA from 1 species
CUACGGGAGGCAGCAGUGGGGAAUUUUGGACAAUGGGCGCAAGCCUGAUCCAGCAAUGCCGCGUGUGUGAAGAAGGCCUUCGGGUUGUAAAGCACUUUUGUCCGGAUAGAAAUCCGUCUGGCUAAUACCCGGACGGGAUGACGGUACCGGAAGAAUAAGCACCGGCUAACUACGUGCCAGCAGCCGCGGUAAUACGUAGGGUGCGAGCGUUAAUCGGAAUUACUGGGCGUAAAGCGUGCGCAGGCGGCUUUGUAAGACAGAUGUGAAAUCCCCGGGCUCAACCUGGGAACUGCAUUUGUGACUGCAAGGCUAGAGUGCGUCAGAGGGAGGUGGAAUUCCGCGUGUAGCAGUGAAAUGCGUAGAGAUGCGGAGGAACACCAAUGGCGAAGGCAGCCUCCUGGGAUGACACUGACGCUCAUGCACGAAAGCGUGGGGAGCAAACAGGAUUAGAAACCCUUGUAGUCC